AUUGAACGCUGGCGGCAGGCUUAACACAUGCAAGUCGAGCGGGGAAGGGUAGCUUGCUACCUGACCUAGCGGCGGACGGGUGAGUAAUGCUUAGGAAUCUGCCUAUUAGUGGGGGACAACAUUCCGAAAGGAAUGCUAAUACCGCAUACGCCCUACGGGGGAAAGCAGGGGAUCUUCGGACCUUGCGCUAAUAGAUGAGCCUAAGUCAGAUUAGCUAGUUGGUGGGGUAAAGGCCUACCAAGGCGACGAUCUGUAGCGGGUCUGAGAGGAUGAUCCGCCACACUGGGACGGAGACACGGCCCAGACUCCUACGGGAGGCAGCAGUAGGGAAUAUUGGACAAUGGGCGCAAGCCUGAUCCAGCCAUGCCGCGUGUGUGAAGAAGGCCUUUUGGUUGUAAAGCACGUUAAGCGAGGAGGAGGCUACUGAGAUUAAUACUCUUGGAUAGUGGACGUUACUCGCAGAAUAAGCACCGGCUAACUCUGUG
rnacentral:rRNA from 1 species